AACGAACGCUGGCGGCAGGCUUAACACAUGCAAGUCGAGCGCAUCCUUUUAGGGUGAGCGGCAGACGGGUGAGGAACACGUGGGAAUCUACCCAACCCUACGGAAUAAUCUCGGGAAACUGGGACUAAUACCGUAUACGCCCUACGGGGAAAGAUUUAUCGGGGAUGGAUGAGCCCGCGUUGGAUUAGCUAGUUGGUGGGGUAAAGGCCUACCAAGGCGACGAUCCAUAGCUGGUCUGAGAGGAUGAUCAGCCACAUUGGGACUGAGACACGGCCCAA
rnacentral:rRNA from 1 species